GAUGGACGCUGGCGGCGUGCCUAAUACAUGCAAGUCGAACGAAACUUCUUUAUCACCGAGUGCUUGCACUCACCGAUAAAGAGUUGAGUGGCGAACGGGUGAGUAACACGUGGGCAACCUGCCCAAAAGAGGGGGAUAACACUUGGAAACAGGUGCUAAUACCGCAUAACCAUAGUUACCGCAUGGUAACUAUGUAAAAGGUGGCUAUACUACCGCUUUUGGAUGGGCCCGCGGCGCAUUAGCUAGUUGGUAGGGUAAAGGCUUACCAAGGCAAUGAUGCGUAGCCGAAUUGAGAGGUUGAUCGGCCACAUUGGGACUGAGACACGGCCCAAACUCCUACGGGAGGCAGCAGUAGGGAAUCUUCCACAAUGGGCGAAAGCCUGAUGGAGCAACGCCGCGUGGAUGAAGAAGGUCUUCGGAUCGUAAAACCCUGUUGUUAGAGGAGAAAGUGCGUGAGAGUAACUGUUCACGUUUCGACGGUAUCUAACCAGAAAGCCACUGCUAACUACGUG
rnacentral:rRNA from 1 species